rnacentral:lncRNA from 1 species
GUGCUGUGUGUGGUAGCUCCCACCUGUAAUCUCAACACUUUGGGAACCUGAGGCAGGAAGACUGCUUAAGCCCAGGAGUUUGAGACCAGCCUGUGCAAUGUGGCAAGAUCCCAUCUCUAAAAGAAAUUUUUUUUUUUUUUUAAUUAGCUGGAUACGUGUCCCCUUCCUGUAGUCCCGGAUACUCAAGAGGCUGAGGUAAGAAGAUGGCUUGAGCCCGGAAGGUCAAGGGUGUACUCGUGAGCCAUGAUUGUGCCAUUGCACUCCUGCCUGGGAAAAAGAGGUCUCACUCUGUCACCCAGGCUGCAGUGCAAUGGCAUGAUCUCAGCUCAGUGCAACCUCUUCCUUCCAGGCUCAAGUGAUCCUCCCACCUCAGCCUUCCUAGCAGCUGAGACUAGGUACACGCCACCAUACCCAGCUAAUUUCUAUAUAUUUUGUAGAAAUGGGAUUUCACCAUGUUUUCCAGGCUGGUCUUCUUCAACUCCUGGACUGAAGCAAUCUGCCCACCUUAGCUUCCCAAAGUGCUAGGAUUACAGGCGUGAGACUCCAUGCCUGGCUGGUAAUAAACUUUUUCAUUAUGUGAUACUUUAUGGUCCUCUAGGAACCAAAUUUCUUUUAGGAUUUGUAAAAAAGUAGGAUUAGAUUGGCUCUUCUGUGUUUUAAACAAGAUCUAUUGAAUCCAAGAGAAAAUUCUUACUAACCAACAUAAAUUAAACAACUAUAAAACAGACAAGCCACAUUGGUUACUCUCAUAGUUUACUUGAUAAAAUCAAAUAGGCAAG